GACGAACGCUGGCGGCGUGCCUAAUACAUGCAAGUAGAACGCUGAAGGAGGAGCUUGCUUCUCUGGAUGAGUUGCGAACGGGUGAGUAACGCGUAGGUAACCUGCCUGGUAGCGGGGGAUAACUAUUGGAAACGAUAGCUAAUACCGCAUAAGAGUAGAUGUUGCAUGACAUUUGCUUAAAAGGUGCAAUUGCAUCACUACCAGAUGGACCUGCGUUGUAUUAGCUAGUUGGUGGGGUAACGGCUCACCAAGGCGACGAUACAUAGCCGACCUGAGAGGGGGAUCGGCCACACUGGGAGUGAGACACGGCCCAGACUCCUACGGGAGGCAGCAGUAGGGAUUCGGCGGCAAUGGACGGAAGUCUGACCGAGCAACGCCGCGUGAGUGAAGAAGGUUGUCGGAUCGUAAAGCUCUGUUGUAAGAGAAGAACGAGUGUGAGAGUGGAAAGUUCACACUGUGACGGUAUCUUACAAGAAAGGGACGGCUAACUACGUG
rnacentral:rRNA from 1 species